rnacentral:lncRNA from 1 species
AUGUCCACCAGGGUGAUCCAGAAGUCCUACAAGGUGCCCACCUCUGGCCCCCGGGCCUUCAGCAGCUGCUCCUACACACAUGGGCCCAGUGCCCACAUCAGCUCCUCAAGCUUCUCCCGAGUGGGCAGCAGCAGCUUCCGGGAUGGCAUGGGUGAAGGCUAUGGUGGGGUCAGUGGCAUGGGAGGCAUCACCACCAUCAUGGUCAAGCAGAGCCUGCUGAGUCCCCUUCACCUGGAGGUGGACCCCAACAUCCAGGCUGUGCACACCCAGGAGAAGAAGCAGAUCAAGACCCUCAACAAGUUUGCUUCCUUCAUCGACAAGGUACAGUUCCUGGAGCAGCAGACCAAGAUGCUGGAGACCAAGUGGAGCCUCCUGCAGCAGCAGAAGAUGGCUCAGAGCAACAUGGACAACAUGUUCGAGAGCUACAUCAACAACCUUAGGCGGCAGCUGGAGACUCUGGGCCAGGAGAAGCUGAAGCCUGAGGCGGAGCUUGGCAACAUGCAGGCAUGCAGGGGCUGGUGGAGGACUUCAAGAACAAGUAUGAGGAUGAGAUCAAUAAGUGUACAGAGAUGGAGAAUGAAUUUUUCCUCAUCAAAGAUGUGGAUGAAGCUUACAUGAACAAGGUAGAGCUUGAGUCUCGCCUGGAAGGGCUCACUGACCAGAUCAACUUCCUCAGGCAGCUGUAUGAAGAGGGGAUCCGGGAGCUGCAGUCUCAGAUCUCGAACACAUCUGUGGUGCUGUCCAUGGACAACAGCCGCUCCCUGGACAUGGACAGCAUCACCACUGAAAUCAAGGAGCAGUACAAGGAGAUUGCCAACCGCAGCUGGGCUGAGGCUGAGAGAAUGUACCAGAUCAAGUAUGAGGAACUGCAAACUCUGGCUGGGAAGCCCGGGGAUGACCUGGGGCAUACAAAGACUGAGUUCUCUGAGAUGAACAUCAGCCGGAACAUCAGCUGGCUCCAGGCUGAGAUUGAGGGCGGGCUUCCCUGGAGGCCGCCAUCGCAGAUGCCAAGCAGCGUGGGGAGCUGGCCGUUGAGGAUGCCAAGGCCAAGUUGUCCGAGCUGGAGGCCGUUCUGCAGCGGGCCAAGCAGGACAUGGCGCGGCCUCUGCGUGAAUACCAGGAGCUGAUGAAUGUCAAGCUGGCCCUGGACGUAGAGAUCGCCACCUACAGGAAGCUGCUGGAGGGCGAGGAGAGCCGGCUGGAAUCUGGGAUGCAGAACAUGAGCACCCAUAGGAAGACCACCAGGGGCUAUGCAGGUGGUCUGAGCUCCGCCUAUGAGGGCCUCACAAACCCCAGCCUCAGCUACGGCCUGGGUUCUAGCUUUGGCUCUGGUGUGGGCUCCAGCUCCUUCAGCCGCACCAGCUUCACCAGGGCCAUGGUUGUGAAGAAGAUCGAGACCCGUGAUGGGAAGCUGGUGUUCCAGUCCUCUGACAUCCUGCCCA